rnacentral:rRNA from 1 species
GACAGAGGGGGCGAGCGUUAUCCGGAAUUAUUGGGCGUAAAGGGCGCGUAGGCGGCUUUGCAAGUGACGGGUGAAAGCCCUCGGCUCAACCGAGGAACUGCCUGGCAGACUGUGAGGCUUGAGACCGGGAGAGGUGAGUGGAAUUCCCAGUGUAGCGGUGAAAUGCGUAGAUAUUGGGAGGAACACCAGUGGCGAAGGCGGCUCACUGGACCGGAACUGACGCUGAGGCGCGAAAGCGUGGGGAGCAAACAGG